AGGGGAAUCCUCUAAUGGUAGGAGAGCGGUCUCCAAAACCGUCAAUGGGGGUUCGACUCCCUCUUCCCCUG
rnacentral:tRNA from 1 species